rnacentral:rRNA from 1 species
GUGAGGAAUAUUGGUCAAUGGGCGAGAGCCUGAACCAGCCAAGUCGCGUGAAGGAAGAAGGAUCUAUGGUUCGUAAACUUCUUUUGCAGGGGAAUAAAGUGCAGGACGUGUCCUGUUUUGUAUGUACCCUGAGAAUGAGGAUCGGCUAACUCCGUGCCAGCAGCCGCGGUAAUACGGAGGAUCCGAGCGUUAUCCGGAUUUAUUGGGUUUAAAGGGUGCGUAGGUGGUUUGAUAAGUCAGCGGUGAAAGUUUGCAGCUUAACUGUAAAAAUGCCGUUGAAACUGUCGGACUUGAGUGUAAAUGAGGUAGGCGGAAUGCGUGGUGUAGCGGUGAAAUGCAUAGAUAUCACGCAGAACUCCGAUUGCGAAGGCAGCUUACUAAGCUACAACUGACACUGAAGCACGAAAGCGUGGGGAUCAAACAGGAUUAGAUACCCGUGUAGUCC